GGCCUGCCGGGCUCUGUAGAGGGCACGGCGCUCCUCCUCCACCGCCGCCUUCUCUUCCUCCCGCGGGAAGCUCCCGGCGGCCGCACGUGCCGCCCAGCCCAGGCUCCUCCCCUCCCCUACCCCCACCCGGGAGCGGCCAGGCGCUGCUUUCUCUCCGCUCGCAGAGAUGGCGCUCGACCCCGCAGGGCAGCAUCUCAGACAUGUUGAAAAGGAUGUUUUGAUCCCUAAAAUAAUGAGAGAAAAAGCCCGAGAGAGAUGUUCUGAACAAGUUCAAGAUUUUACCAAAUGUUGCAAGGACUCUGGAAUCCUUAUGGUAGUAAAAUGCCGGAAAGAAAAUUCUGCAUUGAAAGAAUGCCUAACUGCUCAUUAUAAUGAUCCAGCCUUUUAUGAAGAAUGCAAAAUGGAAUACCUGAAGGAAAGGGAAGAAUUCAGAAAAACUGGAAUUCCUACCAAGAAAAGGCUACAGAAGCUUCCCACAAGCAUGUAGGUGUGUCCCUGCUCUGCUUAGGAAUAGGUUCCAUUUGGGCAGAAUCUCCAUUUCCUUUUAAAGAAGAUGCAGAUUUUAUUUUCACUAAUAGGAGACCAAGAGGAAGGAGAGAUUGUACUCCCUGGAGUCAGCUGUGUUCACUGGUCAGAAUAAAUUCCAGCAUCUGACACCAAUUCCAUUAAUCACAGAC